rnacentral:rRNA from 1 species
AUGUCCGGCAUAAUCUCGGGAAACUGAGGAUAAUUCCGGAUASCUCUUUUUGGCUGGAAUUGCAUUAAGAGUCAAAGUUCUUCGCCUAAGGAUGGGUCUGCGGCCUAUCAGGUARUAGAGGGUGUAACGCACCUUCCAGCCGACAACGGGUACGGGUUGUGAGAGCAAGAGCCCGGAGAUGGAUUCUGAGACAUGAAUCCAGGCCCUACGGGGCGCAGCAGGCGCGAAAACUUUACAAUGCAGGAAACUGUGAUAAGGAAACACCGAGUGCCCGCAUCUAAUGCGGGCUGUCCAUAUACUCAAAAAGUAUGUGUUAGCAAGGGCCGGGCAAUACCGGUGCCAGCCGCCGCGGUAAUACCGGUGGCCCGAGUGGUAGCCGCUUUUAUUUGGUCUAAAGGGUCCGUAGCCRGUCCGGUCAKUCCAUUGGUAAAUCCGCGCGCCCAACGCGCGGUCUUCAGUGGAUACUUCCGGACUUGGGACCGGGAGAGGUAAGAGGUACUAUAGGGGUAGGAGUGAAAUCUUGUAAUUCCUUAUGGGACCACCUGUGGCGAAGGCGUCUUACCUGAACCGGUCCGACCGUGAGGGACGAAAGCUGGGGGCAC